UACGUAGGGACCGAGCGUUGUCCGGAAUCAUUGGGCGUAAAGAGCGUGUAGGCGGCUAUUUAAGUCCUGCGUGAAAUCCUGCGGCUCAACCGCAGACGGUCGUGGGAAACUGGAUGGCUAGAGUGCGGGAGAGGAGAGUGGAAUUCCCGGUGUAGCGGUGAAAUGCGCAGAUAUCGGGAAGAACACCCGUGGCGAAGGCGGCUCUCUGGCCCGAUACUGACGCUGAGGCACGAAAGCGUGGGGAGCAAACAGGG
rnacentral:rRNA from 1 species